UCCCAGUUUGUUUUAGUACCUUUGUGUCAAGUGUCCCAGAAUUACAUUUCUUUUGUCGAUUGCUUUCCUGAAUUUUUUUGGAUUGCCUUUUGACCUUGCCUCGGCCUUUGCCUUUGUGGAUGUGUUUGCCCUCUGUGAUUGAUUACCUGUGUACGAAGCCUUUUUAGGAUCAGAGGCGUGGCCACAGGGGGUGGCUGGGGGGCGACAAACUGAUUGGCACCCCUACCAGAGCUGCCAAUCAGUUUGUCCGAGUGGACAUUCAAAAUUAUGCAGGACACCACAACUCUUUUCUCUGGUUGCACUUUAGCUGAUGCAGACUUGCACUCAGCUUGCGCUAUUUCAUCUCAUAAGGAGAAAACAAGGGUAAGAAAAUGCCUUUGCUCCUACUAAGUCCUGCAGACUUCACUUAACACUGAUGCUAUACAGACGGUUUCAACCAAGCUGCAGCAGGGAUUCUUCAGGGAGGACUGUGUACAUCACAGAGGAAUAAGUUUUUUGUUCUCCCCUAUUUCUCCCUCCACUUCUUUCCUUCUCAUCAUCCCUACCUCUGUUUUCAUUUGUUACCACAUGCUCUCUAUCUCUCCGUGCAGUUGUUUAUUAUGUAACAUUCCCAUUCCCACCUUUCACAUCGUAGUAAAUAAGAGCUAGAAAAUAUACCUGGUUAAAAGUACAAAAGUUUAAUGAGUAAUUGGCAGGCAGAGGAGUAAUUUGUAUGGUUUUUCUAAAAUCACUCAUUGUUUGUGCUACUGUUUAUUAUCUGCAUUUUCUCUGAAAGAGUCAUUUAAUGUAUUUACAUUCAUUUCAUUGUCAGUGGUGAUUCUAAUUACCUACCUAUGGGCAAGGGAACUGCAGGAAACAAUUCAUGCAUCUGAUCCAGUGCCAGUUUCUAAGUUUAUCUCAUAUCAGCCUCACCGUUUGCUUUUCAUUCUGCUACAAUUCUGCUAAAGUUGCUGUUAAUGCAAACCCAACAUGUCCUGCUGCUUACAUUUGUUGUUAACCAUGGGUGUUGUCAAAUCAGAAAGGUUAUCAUUUCCUGUGAGCUCCUUGUGCUUAUGAAGGCAAGUUGAAUCCACCACAAGAGCAUCUUAUCUCUCUUUAGAGAGAUAGUUACAAACUAUAGAUUGAAAGGCUAUUGCUGAAAGGGCAAAAAUGUGAUUUCAUGAGCACCUUUUGGAUUACAGUUCAACAUAUACAAAACAUACAAUUUUUAAAAUAAAUGCUCAUACAAUGUUGAGUGCUGUUUUGAUGUUAUAAUUUCUCUUGGUGCUUUUAUUAUACGACAUAAAAACAGAACAGGGUGUUAAAUGAGACUGGUGGGACAUUUGAAGGCAAAAAAAUACCCCAUUAAAAGUCAAAAUUAAUAAGUAUUGAUAAAAGGUACAGUGAGCAUGCACAGGAAUCAUGACGUUUGAAAAUGCUUUUGAAAUGAAUAACUCCAAGUGCAGAAACUCCUAUUUAAGAGCGAUUCUUUAUGCCAUGCCAUAUAAUACAGAAAAAACAAAGGAUCAGUCAUGUUUUGACUGUUUUGAGGACUUUAAGUACAGGGGGAUGAGAGAAAGUUCAGUUAAAGUUGACUGAAUUCUUUUGGGAGCAGAAAGCAGUCAAGACAGUAAAGACAGGCAUGACUGAAGAGAAAAGGUCAAGUAUGGAGAGAUGAAGAUAAAGAGAGAAGGGGAGACAUGCAGAGACAGGCGGAAACCUAAACUACUGGUUAUUCUGAUCGAUGAACAAUUUAUGUAAAGUGGGACUGCCGGGAUCCUGUUGGCUCUUCUUAACGUCCUCUUCCAGGAACUGCUUGACCAUGGAGACCAUCUGGGAAGAUUUUCUCCAUUUCUUGUCCAUAUCAGCCAGCCAUCUCUCCAUCUGGAACUGUCAGGCAAAACACCUCCAGAAUCAAUAAGAAUGAGUGAGGCAGUAGUCAGAUAAAGACAUGGAAUAAGAGUCAUUGUACAAAGCUUCAAAACAAUUUGCAAACUGAGAAGGGAAGAGUUUGAUAUUUUGGAACAUAUAUGUAUGUCCCUCCUUGCCCAAAGAUAGAUUAAAACAUCAACACCACUCGCAUGUCUGUAUGCUUAAUAUGAA